rnacentral:lncRNA from 1 species
ACAAGGGAUCCAUGGAAAGAGCAUUCCCAGAAGGGGGGCCAGGGCAGUGCGCACAGUGAGGAGAGCAGGUGUGUGCGAGGUUGAAACAAAACGUUCAAAGCCCCCUCGGAAGCCCAUCCACAGUUGAGGAAACUGGGCCCUGAGACAUUAACUUGCCCAAAAGAUCACAGUGGGCAACAUUCUAGAGCACAAUGGAAGCCGACAGCAAUGUCAGUGAAGACUGAAAACAGAACGUGGAGAGAGAUGUAGCUUACUAGAGCCCUGUGGCUUCAAUCCCCACCAGGAAUGUCGUUUAAGAGGAAGGUGAUCUAGCACAAAUUCACAUUUGCUUGAGGAAGAAUACAAACGACAUAUCACACACCAACCGUGUGCAAAGCACUCUACCUAAAGAUCAGCGCUAACAGAGGAAUAAGCAGAGGCCUCCAGGAGCAAAGAGUGAAAAGUCUGGCAAGGCUUCAAGUACGGGGGAAGUGGGUGGAGCUUUCACCGUAGAAUCUUUCCUAGAGAAAAAGCAAAGAGUGGGGCAACAAUAAAGGCAUUAAAAAUAACUGUCAAGUUGAAGAAAAAGUAUUUUGCCAAAGACUGAGGAUUCGGAUAUGACUACGGAAAGGAAAACUAAGCUCCAUGAGAAGAGGGGACUUGCCCAUGUGGCUCAGGGCUCUAUGCCCAGUGCCCUAGACAGUGCCUGACUGUGUGUGCGGAAUGAAUGAAUAACCUUGGUGAUCCACCCAAUGGCACUGGCGCUCAGUGACCUCAUCUGAAAUGAAAACCUUAACGCAUCAUCAGUUACUGAUUAAACACCUAUCAUAGAUGAAGUAUUAUGGUCUUAAAUCAUUCAGACAAUUCAGACCAAUACAUCUAAAUACAGUGCCUUUCUCAUGAGCUGUAAAUGAAAU